CAUUUUUUUUCCUCCUCCUCCUCCUCCUCUUCCUUCAACCCACAGAACCCCCUCCCUCCCUUCUUCCCUUCAAGCAUCUCUACACCUCUCCCUUCUCAUGCCACCUCCAUUGUUUCUCCUCCUCCUCUUCCUUCAACCCACAGAACCCCCUCCCUCCCUUCUUCCACCACCUUCCCUUCAAGCAUCUCCACUCCUCUCCCUUCUCAUAUCCACUUUCCCUUCCUUUCCUUUCCUCUCUUCGUUCUGACAAGCCACCUCCAUUGUUUCUUCUCCUCCUCCUCCUCUUCCUCCUCUUCCUUCAGCCACAUAAACACCCACCAACCCCCUCCUUUUCCCUCCCACUCCUCCCUUCCCUUCCUUUCCACCGCCAUUAUUUUUCUCCACAAUUUACUUUCCAGUUUCCACAGCUUUUCCUACGCGACACUCACAGACCGAGCUUACUAAGCCCCAAAUACACUGAGUGCGUGUUUUAUUAGGUUCAUGGCAUACAGAGGAAGGGUCACACUAAUCGGGUUCUCAUGCGUGUUUUCGUAGGUUCAUGGCAUACAGAGGAAGGGUCACACUAAUCGGGUUCUCAUGCGUGUUUUCGUAGGUUCAUGGUAUACAGAGGAAGGGUCACACUAAUCGGGUUCUCAUGCGUGUUUUCUUAGGUUCAUGGUAUACAGAGGAAGGGUCACACUAAUCGCGUUCUCAUGCGUGUUUUCUUAGGUUCAUGGUAUACAGAGGAAGGGGCAAACUAAUCGGGUUCUCAUGCGUGUUUUCUUAGGUUCAUGGUAUACAGUGGAAGGGGCAAACUAAUCGGGUUCUCAUGCGUGUUUUCUUAGGUUCAUGGUAUACAGAGGAAGGGGCAAACUAAUCGGGUUCUCAUGCGCGUUUUCUUAGGUUCAUGGUAUACAGAGGAAGGGUCAAACUAAUCGGGUUCUCAUGCGUGUUUUCGUAGGUUCAUGGUAUACAGAGGAAGGGGCAAACUAAUCGCGUUCUCAUGCGUGUUUUCUUAGGUUCAUGGUAUGCAGAGGAAGGGGCAAACUAAUCGGGUUCUCAUGCGUGUUUUCUUAGGUUCAUGGUAUGCAGAGGAAGGGGCAAACUAAUCGGGUUCUCAUACGU